rnacentral:misc_RNA from 1 species
UCCGGUUUGUCACCGGCAGUCUCAUUAGAGUGCUCUUGCGUAGCAACUAAUGACAAGGGUUGCGCUCGUUGCGGGACUUAACCCAACAUCUCACGACACGAGCUGACGACAGCCAUGCAGCACCUGUGUGCAGGUUCCCUUUCGGGCACCCCCGGAUCUCUCCAGGGUUCCUGCCAUGUCAAGGGUAGGUAAGGUUUUUCGCGUUGCAUCGAAUUAAUCCACAUCAUCCACCGCUUGUGCGGGUCCCCGUCAAUUCCUUUGAGUUUUAAUCUUGCGACCGUACUCCCCAGGCGGGGCGCUUAAUGCGUUAGCUACGGCACGGACAACGUGGAAUGUCGCCCACACCUAGCGCCCAACGUUUACAGCGUGGACUAC